rnacentral:misc_RNA from 1 species
GCAUUGAUGUUGUGCUAUAGCAACUGUGCAGCAACAUGAAUCUCUCUUGGAAGAAUGAGAGAUGCGCUUCGAGAUUGUAAAAUCGCUGCUGAAAUUGAUCCCCAUUUUCUCAGGGUGCAAGUAAGAGCUGCAAAGUAAGUUAUUCUCCCCUUGAUUGUUUCUGUUCUUUUUAUUUGGAGUUAGUUAAUGAUAGUAGUGUUUAUUUUUGCUCCACAUGAGUGCUAGUUAAUUUUGUUGCACUGAUUAUCUGCUUAAGAAUUUGAUAAACAGUAUAUCAUAAUACUUUUUCCCUCUUCCAAUUUUGUCAAGUUGGCUGAAUUGAAUUGCAUUACCAAUUUAGGGUUGGUGAUGUCAAGUAGUGAAUUUGCUGUUAUAAAUGAAUUACACAAAUGGUUUUGUUUGAUGUUAUACUUCUCUCAAUGUCUGUCUGAUCUAACUACCCAGUGCUUGUCUGGUAUGUUAUUGUAGCUGUUGUUGAGAAAAUCUUUAAGUUAAAUAUGUGAUUAAAGGCAAUAGCAAUUAAAAUUUGUCUCUAGGGUUGAUUUGGUGUGUUUGGGUCAUAAAAUCUCCAAAACAACUAAGGGAAAGUUCCAAACUACAUUUUGCAACAACAAAAUUUAUUCUUUCAGGCUUAUUCAUUUUUCCAUUGCAUAAUCUGGUUGAAUUGCAAUAUUGUGUGAGUUCAGUUUGGGUGGUGUUUAAUAUUGACUAAAAUAUUAUUUCUUAUUAUAAAAUUUCUUGUUAAGUUAUUAACUGGCCCUGAGGGAAGUUGAAAAUGCAUGAGUAUUUCAAGAAGUGCUUGCAGUUAGGAAGCGACAGUGUGGACUGAAAAAUUGCAGUUGAAGCCUCUGAGGGACUACAAAAGGCGCAGGUACUCCUUUUUUCUCUCUCCUUUUUCGGAAGUAGGAUCUUGUAGUCUGUCCUUAAAUCGAAUAAGUGCUCUAAUGGUCUGCAUUAUUACAUGAUCUGAAAAAAAGAUGAAGAGAAUGCAUACAAACAGAUAUAGUGUAAUUUAAAACUGACCAAAAUGAUAAAUGCCUGACAUGUUUGGAGUUCUGACUAGUAAAACUUUUAUUGCCCAUUGUUUCUGUACGUGUUCAUUUUUUUUGUACCUAAUCAGUUUUUUUUUGGUACUGAUUACUGAAUGGCAUAUAGUGUCUGAGUGCUUGCAACAUUCUGCUGAACUAUUGCAAAUGAAAACUUCCUGUGAUGCAGGUAGUGCUUUGACUAAUUUUAGAGGCUUCAACUAUUAAGUCCAUUCUCAGAAAAAUUACUUGAA